rnacentral:rRNA from 1 species
CCCUUAGAUGUUCUGGGCUGCACGCGCGCUACACUGAUGCGUUCAACGAGUUUUUAGUUUAUCUGAUAAGAUUGGCUAAUCUUCUGAAAACGCAUCGUGAUGGGGAUAGAUUAUUGUAAUUAUUAAUCUUCAACGAGGAAUUCCUAGUAGGUGUGAAUCAUCAGUUCACGCCGAUUACGUCCCUGCCCUUUGUACACACCGCCCGUCGCUCCUACCGAUUGAAUGGUUUAGUGAGGCCUCGGGACUGGCGCACGGGGCGCUGGCAACAGCACCCUCGCGCCGGGAACUUGGUCAAACUUGAUCAUUUAGAGGAAGUAAAAGUCGUAACA